rnacentral:rRNA from 1 species
UACGUAGGGUGCAAGCGUUGUCCAGAAUUAUUGGGCGUAAAGAGCUCGUAGGCGGUCUGUCGCGUCUGCUGUGAAAACUCAGGGCUUAACCCUGAGCUUGCAGUGGGUACGGGCAGACUAGAGUGCGGUAGGGGAGACUGGAAUUCCUGGUGUAGCGGUGAAAUGCGCAGAUAUCAGGAGGAACACCGGUGGCGAAGGCGGGUCUCUGGGCAGUAACUGACGCUGAGGAGCGAAAGCGUGGGGAGCGAACAGG